rfam:Mus musculus chromosome 11, GRC primary reference assembly.
GGGAAACAGGAGAGGGGGCCAGCCCCAGGACCCAAAUCAAUGUUAUGGGGCC